rnacentral:rRNA from 1 species
UACGAAGGGGGCUAGCGUUGCUCGGAAUCACUGGGCGUAAAGGGUGCGUAGGCGGGGCUUUAAGUCAGGGGUGAAAUCCUGGAGCUCAACUCCAGAACUGCCUUUGAUACUGAGGAUCUUGAGUUCGGGAGAGGUGAGUGGAACUGCGAGUGUAGAGGUGAAAUUCGUAGAUAUUCGCAGGAACACCAGUGGCGAAGGCGGCUCACUGGCCCGAUACUGACGCUGAGGCACGAAAGCGUGGGGAGCAAACAGG